UUCGUAGCUGGACUGUUAAGUCUCUUGGGAAAUCCGCCGGCUCAACCGGCGGGCGUCUAAGGGAUACUGGCAGUCUAGGGACCGGGAGAGGUAAGAGGUACUCCGGGGGUAGGAGUGAAAUACUGUAAUCCCCGGGGGACCACCUGUGGCGAAGGCGUCUUACCAGAACGGCUCCGACAGUGAGGAACGAAAGCUGGGGGAGCGAACAGGAUUAGAUACCCUGGUAGUCC
rnacentral:rRNA from 1 species